UGUGCGGUUGAUAAUGGGCCAGGGGUGGAUCUGGGCACGACAAGAGCCAGUGAACCUCAGGAUGGGCUUCCCAAGGUGUGGUUGAGAAAAAGAAUGGCAAAAAUAUGGAGCAUGGAAAUUAUGUAGUGAAUAGUUGUCUCAAACACUGUUGUAUUCCAAACGGUUAUCACUGGCUAUACAGCAUACAGCUAAAAUGCCAAGCUUCACUAGGUAAAGUCCAAGAACUUUGUCAACCCCACCCCAAUGAAAAAUAGAUGAAGGCUUAAAAUUUUGAUGAGGCCCCAAACCACAACUUGUCAAUCCUGAACAAGUGCCAGAUUUGAAAUCUGUAAAUGAAGAUCUUUCUCUGAGGAUAGUGCCAGUCUUUUGGUUGGUACAACAAGAUCUCCCUCAAGAGCUGACCUUAUUUGGAUCAAGCAUUACAUCAGCUCUCUAUUCCUUCCAAGUCACUGUAGUUAAGCCAUGGAGAGUCAACAUGUGACAGCUUCCAUCCAGUCGGAGGAGAUCAAAUGUGUUUGAUAAUAAUGUGUUUUGUGAUUAAUUGGCGGCCGAUGAGCAUGUCGCACUAAACAAAGAUUGCCAAUUUUGGCCUACGAUGAAAUUGUCAAAAUGGUCUCCAAUGGCAAAACCAUGACCAAAAUUGCACAGUGUCGGCCAGAAAAUACAAUAUUUCUUCAGUGUUGUGAAGCCCGGUGCAAAGGCCACAAAGUACAUUCAGACAAAUCCUCAAUUGUCAGGGUACGUGUGAACUGUUGUUUCAGAGCGGACGACAGCCAGUUGACCCCUGGACAAAGAAGUGCACUGUCCGGAGCAUGGUGCUCUGAUCUUAAGCAGUACAGAUGAACAGAAGGUCUUCUGACUUCCUCAAGUGGCCAAUCUUCUUUAUUAAGACCUCAGGGUUCCUUUCAAGUCUUCAGAUAUUCUCAGAGAGAGUAGAGUGAACACCAGUGGGCCACUGAACCCCAUGUGAAGAGGACCUGUUUCAAGAAAAGGUCAUGUAAAGGAAUGUGGCCCCUUGUGGGGUCAGAGUUUAAAAGUCGGGGGUCAGCCUUCGUUCUUUUAAUGGUGCCGUCCACUGUUCUAAGAGCAGAGCAGAACUAAAAACAACCCAACACGUUCUUUCUCUUUGUCUUCUGUUGCCCAGUGGAACCAAAACAAGAGACUGUAGUUUAAAUUAAGAAACAGUGUUCCUCAAGCUUUUGAAAUCUGUGGAGAACCACUAAUUUAGAGCACAGUUGUCUUUGUUAGUGCCACUCUAUCAAAUCUUUCAUACUGUAUUCUAUAUGCAUGCACGUUCUUGCUCUCCCUUUAUCACUUCAGAGCAGGUGGCUUUGUGGAACUGCAGACUAAUUAGAAUUAUGUAAAUGAAAUAAUCCACUGAGUCAAAUUCUCAGCCACUAACUACUAAUCACUAUGAUUCUUAUGCAAUUAUGUAUUUUGCUACAGGUAAAUGACAUAGCAGGCAAGGGAACAUGAAGGUUUGAAUGUAAUGAUUUUAAUGUUUUUUGAUGUGAUCUGUUUCAGUUUUGUUUUUAUGUUUUGGAUCAUUUUAAUGUUAUAUUUGUGUGCACAUUUAUUGGCAGUUUGAGUGUAAAAAAAUCUGCCAUGGCAAUAAAGCACACUAAAAUUGUUAAAAGUUUUUGCAGACAUAUUAAUAUUCUGUGAAGUUCCAAAGUCUGUAUUUUCAGCUUAAAAAUACUGACCACUAUGCCGCAGCUUUUUGUUACUGCUAAUGAGACUGGAAUCUCUCCUGCUGUUUAAUGGGGCUAGAAAAAUACCAUACUUGUGCACGUUCCUCGGCCUAACCCUGGCCACAUACUAAAUUACAGCUUGGGCUGGUGUGCACAUGUGUAUGGACUUAGAAAAAUGAUAAACUAGCACAAUAACACAUUAACUCAGCACCACUAAAGAAGAGCACAACAUAUGCAAGAUAUGUAAAUAUACCACUUAUUUCCAAUGUAUGCAGUGCUGAUACAUUAUUGCGAACUAUCAGCCAUGUUUCAACGGUCAUGAAAUUUUCAUAUGAAACAGUCGAAAUGCAAAGCGUGUAGCUCGUCUAUUCCAGUUUCUGUGCUCUGCAGGCAUCGGCAGCAGCAGGAGGAGAAACUGCGGGCUGUGGUGAUGCUCCUUUCAUCUCCUCUGGCUGUGGAUCAAGCAGUGUGUGCUGCCCCCACCCGCACUCACUCCUCCUCUUCCCCCUUCC